UUUACGUUAUAAAUAAAUUGGUCGAUUUAUAGACUUUUAAUUUGUUUUUAUACUACAUGUAAAUGAGGAGAAAUAUGACUGCAAUUAUAAAGUUUGUUUAUGUGAUGACCCUUUUUCUUUUGCUAUUUCAUGUUGUAACCAGCGAUUUUAUACGUUAUAAAUGCAAGAGUGAUUUUCACUGUCAAGAUAAAUUAUGUACCCCUCCGCAAAUUGGAAAGUGUCUUAAUAAAUUAUGUUACUGCAGAAUAGGGAAAAAAGAACCAUUCGUGACAUACAAUUAAUGCACAUACAACUUUUGUAUUAUAUAUUGUCCAAACACAAAUAAAAUGAUGUAAAACAUAUUACAUUGGCAUCUAUUUAUCUAUAUCUCUAUGUAAUCUCUAUAAGCAAAGUUUAGAUUGCUUCUAAACCUCCAUUGUGCUAUGUGGCACCUCUUAAAAUGUUUCUUACA